UAAAAACUCGAAAAGUCGAAAAAGGUCCCAUUAUAGGGGUCAACAGAGUUGAUAUAGCUGACACUCUUACCUUUCCAAAAUCCUACAAUUUGUGCUAAUACCUUUUUCGGGUCCAGAGAUAUGGGUCUUUCCAUUCGCCAUAACUCAAUUCCAAAAUGCUACAAUUUGUGCUAAUACAUUUUUCGGGUCCAGAGAUACAUAUUCUCUUCUGGUUAAAAAUUUAACAGUUGUUUGAAAUCCGAUGAAGGAUAUCAUAAUCGUAGACGUCGUGCUUCUAAAAUGAUGCUUUGUAGGAGAAUUUUGCGAAAAUCACAUGAAGUACUGCGAGUCGAAGUUGUCAAAAUACAGAGUAUAGUAUUUAUUGGAUCUAAUAUAAGUGUUGCAUCAGAUGUUGCAGAUCAGAUAAUUAACUGUACUUUUUUCAGGCUCUCUCAGAGCACGCAACGAAGACGGUGAAAAAUUUGGCAUUCUCCAUUCUACAAAAAGGACGCAUAUUUUUAUUUACGAAUUCUAUUAGUUGACGCAUUUUAGAGAGAUUUUUUUCGUUGUCUAUAAUAAGAAAAUAGAAUGAAAUAAAAUCCUAUUUCCAUUUUUUACUUAAA